GAUGAACGCUGGCGGCGUGCUUAACACAUGCAAGUCGAACGGAAAGGCUCCUGCUUGCAGGGGUACUCGAGUGGCGAACGGGUGAGUAACACGUGGGUGAUCUGCCCUGCACUUCGGGAUAAGCCUGGGAAACUGGGUCUAAUACCGGAUAGGACGAUGGUUUGGAUGCCAUUGUGGAAAGUUUUUUCGGUGUGAGAUGAGCUCGCGGCCUAUCAGCUUGUUGGUGGGGUAAUGGCCUACCAAGGCGUCGACGGGUAGCCGGCCUGAGAGGGUGUACGGCCACAUUGGGACUGAGAUACGGCCCAGACUCCUACGGGAGGCAGCAGUGGGGAAUAUUGCACAAUGGGCGCAAGCCUGAUGCAGCGACGCCGCGUGGGGGAUGACGGCCUUCGGGUUGUAAACUCCUUUCGCUAGGGACGAAGCGCAAGUGACGGUACCUGGAGAAGAAGCACCGGCUAACUACG
rnacentral:rRNA from 1 species